AUUGCUUCUUGGCCUUUUGGCUAAGAUCAAGUGUAAAAUAUGAUUUGAUUUACAAACAAGUUGUCAGGAUACUUUGUGUGUUGGGCAUAUCAGUAAGGUGUUUCAAGGGGCGCCUGGGUGGCUCAGUUGGUUAAGUGUCCAACUUUGGCUCAGGUCAUGAUCUCACAGUUCAUGGGUUCGAGCCCCACAUC